GAUGAACGCUGGCGGCGUGCCUAAUACAUGCAAGUCGAGCGAACGGACGAGAAGCUUGCUUUUCUGAUGUUAGCGGCGGACGGGUGAGUAACACGUGGAUAACCUACCUAUAAGACUGGGAUAACUUCGGGAAACCGGAGCUAAUACCGGAUAAUAUUUUGAACCGCAUGGUUCAAAAGUGAAGGACGGUCUUGCUGUCACUUAUAGAUGGAUCCGCGCUGCAUUAGCUAGUUGGUAAGGUAACGGCUUACCAAGGCAACGAUGCAUAGCCGACCUGAGAGGGUGAUCGGCCGCACUGGAACUGAGACACGGUCCAGACUCCUACGGGAGGCAGCAGUAGGGAAUCUUCCGCAAUGGGCGAAAGCCUGACGGAGCAACGCCGCGUGAGUGAUGAAGGUCUUCGGAUCGUAAAACUCUGUUAUUAGGGAAGAACAUAUGUGUAAGUAACUGUGCACAUCUUGACGGUACCUAAUCAGAAAGCCACGGCUAACUACGUG
rnacentral:rRNA from 1 species